UGUGAUUUCGGCACUUCAGUGGCUCGUGUGCAGUACACACUAUGUAGUGAGCAUCGGUGUGUCGGAGAGGACGUUGCACUUUCACUGAGAUGAGUCCUGAAUGAGUAUUACAGGUGUGCAAUAUCAGACAACUGAACAGGGCUGUCCAUCUGAACCAUGCCACACUUCCUGCGAGGAGCUUUGAGGGUCUACAAGUGCCAUAAGUCAUGUGCUCUCUUAGCCUAGAGUCAAGGCUGACCGGAGAGAGAGAUUGAAAAUGAAAACUAAAUCAAAUCGGAUCACAUGCCUGAUCUUGGAAGCCGAAGCGUCGCUGACCCUGGCCUGGUCUUUGAAGUGCUGUCUGAGAUGACCCUGUAUGUGCUGUGCAUUCAGAAGAAGGAAACCCAGCGAGCAGGUGUCCAACAGCACCUCACGCUCAGAAGGCUUCCAGAUCCUCAUACGCGGUGGAGAACUCCAGCUGCACCUCUGAAGUAUUUGACGUGGGCUCAGAGGAGUCUGAUCAUGUGACUCGGGAAGCUGGGGGUCUGAAAUAACAAAGCAUAGGUUAAAUAAAGACAAGAGCAAGCAGAUGUGUGGGAGCAGCGCUGGAUCAGUCGACAGCCACAUGAACCCACCCGAUUCACUUGUCGCUCCAAAACAUUUGUCAUCCGCAUGCACUUGGAGCAGAGCUUUUCGCAGGCGGCUUUCUGGUUUCUUCACCGUUUGGUACUGCCGAAAAUAAAUGCGUACAUUAGAACAUAAUGUAAAAUCACAAAUGAGAGCUCAGUUUUUUCUCCUUAAAGGAAUAGUUCACCCUCAAAACGGAAAUUUUGUCAUCAUUUACUCACCCUAUAGGGAGGCUCAGAGAUGACGUAUUUUUGUAUGCAAAACCCAGAAGAGAGUUAGCAUAUUAGGACUCCUGGUUCCAU